CGCGAUUAUGUGAGAACAUCCGCCAUGAUUAUGCUGACAACUCAAUGGGUGUAAUAAUUAUCUAGACUAUAGAUUCUAGAUCUAUAUGAUCUAACUCAAGAUAGAAUUCCAAACUGAUUAGAUCUUUUUUUUUUCGAAUAUGCAUACGCCUUCUCACAUAUAAAAACAACAGAUUCAAUAAAAUCUUAUAGAGUACCUACUAAACGUAGAUUGUCGUUGCUGUGCUAGCUCAGUCCAGUGUUGUUGAGAGUUGAGUAACUGAGUU